rnacentral:tRNA from 1 species
AAUUUGACAGAUAAUUGUAUUAAAUUUAGAAUUUAAUAAUAUUAUAUAUAAAUUA